rnacentral:rRNA from 1 species
CCUGAUCUAGCCAUGCCGCGUGAGUGAUGAAGGCCUUAGGGUCGUAAAGCUCUUUCGCCUGUGAUGAUAAUGACAGUAGCAGGUAAAGAAACCCCGGCUAACUCCGUGCCAGCAGCCGCGGUAAUACGGAGGGGGUUAGCGUUGUUCGGAAUUACUGGGCGUAAAGCGCACGUAGGCGGAUUGGAAAGUUGGGGGUGAAAUCCCGGGGCUCAACCCCGGAACUGCCUCCAAAACUAUCAGUCUAGAGUUCGAGAGAGGUGAGUGGAAUUCCGAGUGUAGAGGUGAAAUUCGUAGAUAUUUGGAGGAACACCAGUGGCGAAGGCGGCUCACUGGCUCGAUACUGACGCUGAGGUGCGAAAGUGUGGGGAGCAAACAGGAUUAGAUACCCUGGUAGUCCACACCGUAAACGAUGAAUGCCAGUCGUCGGGGAGUAUACUGUUCGGUGACACACCUAACGGAUUAAGCAUUCCGCCUGGGGAGUACGGUCGCAAGAUUAAAACUCAAGGGAAUUGACGG